GGCUCGGCGUUAGGGAUGGUCGGACGAGACUCGCUUGGAUUUGAGAUUCAGCGAUCUUGCCCAUCCCGACUCUGGGACU